rnacentral:rRNA from 1 species
GCAAGUAGAACGCUGAAGAGAGGAGCUUGCUCUUCUUGGAUGAGUUGCGAACGGGUGAGUAACGCGUAGGUAACCUGCCUUGUAGCGGGGGAUAACUAUUGGAAACGAUAGCUAAUACCGCAUAACAAUGGAUGACACAUGUCAUUUAUUUGAAAGGGGCAAUUGCUCCACUACAAGAUGGACCUGCGUUGUAUUAGCUAGUAGGUGAGGUAACGGCUCACCUAGGCGACGAUACAUAGCCGACCUGAGAGGGUGAUCGGCCACACUGGGACUGAGACACGGCCCAGACUCCUACGGGAGGCAGCAGUAGGGAAUCUUCGGCAAUGGGGGCAACCCUGACCGAGCAACGCCGCGUGAGUGAAGAAGGUUUUCGGAUCGUAAAGCUCUGUUGUAAGUCAAGAACGAGUGUGAGAGUGGAAAGUUCACACUGUGACGGUAGCUUACCAGAAAGGGACGGCUAACUACGUGCCAGCAGCCGCGGUAAUACGUAGGUCCCGAGCGUUGUCCGGAUUUAUUGGGCGUAAAGCGAGCGCAGGCGGUUUGAUAAGUCUGAAGUUAAAGGCUGUGGCUCAACCAUAGUUCGCUUUGGAAACUGUCAAACUUGAGUGCAGAAGGGGAGAGUGGAAUUCCAUGUGUAGCGGUGAAAUGCGUAGAUAUAUGGAGGAACACCGGUGGCGAAAGCGGCUCUCUGGUCUGUAACUGACGCUGAGGCUCGAAAGCGUGGGGAGCGAACAGGAUUAGAUACCCUGGUAGUCCACGCCGUAAACGAUGAGUGCUAGGUGUUGGAUCCUUUCCGGGAUUCAGUGCCGCAGCUAACGCAUUAAGCACUCCGCCUGGGGAGUACGACCGCAAGGUUGAAACUCAAAGGAAUUGACGGGGGCCCGCACAAGCGGUGGAGCAUGUGGUUUAAUUCGAAGCAACGCGAAGAACCUUACCAGGUCUUGACAUCCCGAUGCUAUUUCUAGAGAUAGAAAGUUACUUCGGUACAUCGGUGACAGGUGGUGCAUGGUUGUCGUCAGCUCGUGUCGUGAGAUGUUGGGUUAAGUCCCGCAACGAGCGCAACCCCUAUUGUUAGUUGCCAUCAUUCAGUUGGGCACUCUAGCGAGACUGCCGGUAAUAAACCGGAGGAAGGUGGGGAUGACGUCAAAUCAUCAUGCCCCUUAUGACCUGGGCUACACACGUGCUACAAUGGUUGGUACAACGAGUUGCGAGUCGGUGACGGCAAGCUAAUCUCUUAAAGCCAAUCUCAGUUCGGAUUGUAGGCUGCAACUCGCCUACAUGAAGUCGGAAUCGCUAGUAAUCGCGGAUCAGCACGCCGCGGUGAAUACGUUCCCGGGCCUUGUACACACCGCCCGUCACACCACGAGAGUUUGUAACACCCGAAGUCGGUGAGGUAACCUUUUGGAGCCAGCCGCCUA